rnacentral:rRNA from 1 species
UUAAAUUGAAGAGUUUGAUCAUGGCUCAGAUUGAACGCUGGCGGCAGGCCUAACACAUGCAAGUCGAACGGUAACAGGAAGCAGCUUGCUGCUUUGCUGACGAGUGGCGGACGGGUGAGUAAUGUCUGGGAAACUGCCUGAUGGAGGGGGAUAACUACUGGAAACGGUGGCUAAUACCGCAUAACGUCGCAAGACCAAAGAGGGGGACCUUCGGGCCUCUUGCCAUCAGAUGUGCCCAGAUGGGAUUAGCUAGUUGGUGAGGUAACGGCUCACCAAGGCGACGAUCCCUAGCUGGUCUGAGAGGAUGACCAGCCACACUGGAACUGAGACACGGUCCAGACUCCUACGGGAGGCAGCAGUGGGGAAUAUUGCACAAUGGGCGCAAGCCUGAUGCAGCCAUGCCGCGUGUAUGAAGAAGGCCUUCGGGUUGUAAAGUACUUUCAGCGGGGAGGAAGGUGUUGUGGUUAAUAACCGCAGCAAUUGACGUUACCCGCAGAAGAAGCACCGGCUAACUCCGUGCCAGCAGCCGCGGUAAUACGGAGGGUGCAAGCGUUAAUCGGAAUUACUGGGCGUAAAGCGCACGCAGGCGGUCUGUCAAGUCGGAUGUGAAAUCCCCGGGCUCAACCUGGGAACUGCAUUCGAAACUGGCAGGCUUGAGUCUUGUAGAGGGGGGUAGAAUUCCAGGUGUAGCGGUGAAAUGCGUAGAGAUCUGGAGGAAUACCGGUGGCGAAGGCGGCCCCCUGGACAAAGACUGACGCUCAGGUGCGAAAGCGUGGGGAGCAAACAGGAUUAGAUACCCUGGUAGUCCACGCCGUAAACGAUGUCUACUUGGAGGUUGUGCCCUUGAGGCGUGGCUUCCGGAGCUAACGCGUUAAGUAGACCGCCUGGGGAGUACGGCCGCAAGGUUAAAACUCAAAUGAAUUGACGGGGGCCCGCACAAGCGGUGGAGCAUGUGGUUUAAUUCGAUGCAACGCGAAGAACCUUACCUGGUCUUGACAUCCACAGAAGAAUCCAGAGAUGGAUUUGUGCCUUCGGGAACUGUGAGACAGGUGCUGCAUGGCUGUCGUCAGCUCGUGUUGUGAAAUGUUGGGUUAAGUCCCGCAACGAGCGCAACCCUUAUCCUUUGUUGCCAGCGAUUAGGUCGGGAACUCAAAGGAGACUGCCAGUGAUAAACUGGAGGAAGGUGGGGAUGACGUCAAGUCAUCAUGGCCCUUACGACCAGGGCUACACACGUGCUACAAUGGCGCAUACAAAGAGAAGCGACCUCGCGAGAGCAAGCGGACCUCAUAAAGUGCGUCGUAGUCCGGAUUGGAGUCUGCAACUCGACUCCAUGAAGUCGGAAUCGCUAGUAAUCGUGGAUCAGAAUGCCACGGUGAAUACGUUCCCGGGCCUUGUACACACCGCCCGUCACACCAUGGGAGUGGGUUGCAAAAGAAGUAGGUAGCUUAACCUUCGGGAGGGCGCUUACCACUUUGUGAUUCAUGACUGGGGUGAAGUCGUAACAAGGUAACCGUAGGGGAACCUGCGGUUGGAUCACCUCCUUACCU